rnacentral:tRNA from 1 species
AUAAAGUUAGCUCAUUGGGUAGAGCAAUCGUCUCAUCAACGAUCGGUAGUCGGUUCGAAUCCGACACUUUACACCA